rnacentral:rRNA from 1 species
GAUGAACGCUGGCGGCGUGCUUAACACAUGCAAGUCGAGCGAACACACGAGGUGCUUGCUCCCCUCACGUUGCCGACGGACGGGUGAGUCAUCCGUGCAUACCCUACCUUUAAGACUGGGAUAACUUCGGGAAAACUGAGCCAACACCGGAUCAUAUAUUGAACCGCAUGGUUCAAUAGUGAACGGCGGUUUUGCUGUCCCUUAUAGAUGGUUCCGCGUUGGAUUAGCUAGUUGGUAGGGUAACGGCUUACCAAGGCGACGAUGCGUAGCCGACCUGAGAGGGAGAACGGCCACACUGGGACUGGGACACGGUCCAGACUCCUACGGGAGGCAGCAGUAGGGAAUCUUCCGCAAUGGGCGAAAGCCUGACGGAGCAACGCCGCGUGAGGGAUGAAGGGCUUCGGAUCGUAAAACUCUGUUAUUAGGGAAGAAAAAAUGUGUAAGUAACUAUGCAGGUCGUGACGGUACCUAAUCAGAAAGCCACGGCUAACUACGUG